GUGGAUAAAAAACUUUUCACUGCAGAGUCUCUAAUUGGCUUGAAGAAUCCGGAGAAGUCAUUUCCAGUCAACAGUGAUGUAGGGGUGCUAAAGUGGAGACUACAAACCACAGAAGAAUCUUUUAUUCCACUGACAACUAAUUGCUGGCCUUCAGAAAGUGGAAGUGGCUGUGAUGUCAAUAUAGAAUAUGAACUACAAGAAGAUAAUUUAGAACUGAAUGACGUGGUUAUCACCAUCCCACUUCCGUCUGGUGUUGGUGCACCUGUGAUUGGUGAGAUCGAUGGGGAAUACUGACAUGACAGUCGACGAAAUACCUUGGAGUGGUGUCUGCCAGUGAUUGAUGCCAAAAAUAAGAGUGGCAGCCUGGAGUUUAGCAUUGCUGGACAGCCCAAUGACUUCUUCCCUGUUCAAGUUUCCUUCAUCUCCAAAAAAAAUUACUGCAAUAUACAGGUAACCCAUUUUAAUAGAGUGCAUAUAUGGGGAAAGCACUAAGGUAGAUGCUGGAUAGAUAGCAUGGCUUAGCAGUACAAAAUCAUAUGCAUAUAUCCCCAGCAUAUGCUGUUUCUGACUUGUAUGAUCGUGUUCAAUUCCCUGCUUACCUCAGUUUUCCUCUCAAAGAAUUCAAUCUGCAUAUGUAUAAAAGUACUUAUGGAUUAUAUAAUGUUCAAGAUUUAUUUUAUUUAUUUGAAAGGCAGAGUUACUAAGGAGAGAUCUUGGGCUGGCACC